GAGAGAUUUAUGUAUACAUAUAUGUAGACAUACAUAUACAUAUGUAUAUAUUUGACACAUGUAAACUUAUGUUGGCCUGCCGUUGAACUUAAAGAAUUACAAAUGACACAGGCCACUUGCAUAUGCAUACAUAUUUGUAUAUCUGUAAGUAUGUAUGUAUAUAUGUAUAUACAUACGCAUGUAAAAACACACAUCAGCUAUGCAAAUGCAGUCACUUUUUAUGUUCUUCACUCUCUUUUUGUCGCUUAUCUACAAAGGAAGUUCAGUUUGAUCAGAUGUAUUGCAUUUUUAAUAGUUUACCUGCGCUUGUAGAUGUGUGUGCGGACAAGUGAAGGAGUGGAAAACAUGUACACUGAUUUUCUUAAUUGCUUUGAUGGAGGCAAAUUUAUUAAGCAGGAAGGCUCAACUCUAAGGCGCGUAUUCUAAUAUUAAAAGAUUAGAUAAGCCAAUUAGCCGGAAUCAUGGAGGAAGUGCGAGCCCAUUUUUUUUGAGGCGGAGGUGUUCAGAAAGCUGUAACUCAUGUUCUACACAAUAUUUUUAGCUUAAAAUGUAUUUUUAUACUGUCGAAAUAUAUGUUGAUAAAUGAUGAUAAA